rnacentral:ncRNA from 1 species
CUUUAUAUUAAAAAAAUGUUCAAUUUAUUUAAACUAAAAACAAUACCAACAGCAGUGUUCUGAAUGUCAAAGUGAAGAAAGUCAAGGAAACACAGGUAAAUAGUUGGAGUCACUAUGACUCUCUUAAGGUGAAUGCUUCUUGUAGGACCUGAACUGCCACACAAGGUGUCUGAUAAAUGCUUUAC